rnacentral:rRNA from 1 species
UACAGAGGGGGCAAGCGUUAUCCGGAAUUAUUGGGCGUAAAGGGCGCGUAGGCGGCUUGGCAAGUGGAAGGUGAAAUCCCUCGGCUUAACCGAGGAACUGCCCUCCAAACUGCUUUGCUUGAGGCCGGGAGAGGUAAGUGGAAUUCCCAGUGUAGCGGUGAAAUGCGUAGAUAUUGGGAGGAACACCAGUGGCGAAGGCGGCUUACUGGACCGGUUCUGACGCUGAGGCGCGAAAGCGUGGGGAGCAAACGGG